rnacentral:misc_RNA from 1 species
UCAAACUUGGUCAUUUAGAGGAAGUAAAAGUCGUAACAAGGUUUCCGUAGGUGAACCUGCGGAAGGAUCAUUAGCGAAUGAAUUUUUAAAGGGCUGUAGCUGGCUGCCAAUGUCGUGGCAGACAAGUGCACGCCUGGAUUGUGUGGGUCUUAUAUCCCACAGUUCACAACUGUAGCGUCAGAUGCGCUACGUUUGUCCCUUCAAUAACGGUGUGUGGUGGGUGUGCACAUGUUUGCACUAAUCCAAGAAAAAAAAAUGUUUGGGGAUGAGAUUAUGUCAUGACAACUUUCAGCAACGGAUCUCUUGGCUCUCGCAUCGAUGAAGAACGCAGC